rnacentral:rRNA from 1 species
AGAACGAACGCUGGCGGCAGGCUUAACACAUGCAAGUCGAACGCGUGUAGCAAUACACGAGUGGCGCACGGGUGAGUAACGCGUGGAUAUCUGCCUUUUGGUUCGGAAUAACUCCGGGAAACUGGAGCUAAUACCGGAUGGUUCCUUCGGGAUAAAGAUUUAUCACCAAAAGAUGAGUCCGCGUACGAUUAGCUAGUUGGUGAGGUAAUGGCUCACCAAGGCGACGAUCGUUAGCUGGUCUGAGAGGACGAUCAGCCACACUGGGACUGAGACACGGCCCAGACUCCUACGGGAGGCAGCAGUGGGGAAUAUUGGACAAUGGGGCAACCCUGAUCCAGCCAUGCCGCGUGAGUGAUGAAGGCCUUCGGGUUGUAAAGCUCUUUUGGCGGGGACGAUGAUGACGGUACCCGCAGAAUAAGCCCCGGCUAACUUCGUGCCAGCAGCCGCGGUAAGACGAAGGGGGCUAGCGUUGUUCGGAAUUACUGGGCGUAAAGCGAGUGUAGGUGGUUGUCAUAGUCAGGUGUGAAAGCCUUGAGCUCACUCAAGAAAUGCACUUGAUACUGGGCGACUAGAGGCCGGAGAGGAUAGUGGAAUUCCCAGUGUAGUGGUGAAAUACGUAGAGAUUGGGAAGAACACCAGUGGCGAAGGCGGCUAUCUGGACGGUUUCUGACACUAAGACUCGAAAGCGUGGGAGCAAACAGG